rnacentral:lncRNA from 1 species
AUAAAACAAACUAAGUGCACUUUUUCACCCCACUGUCCUACCUGUUGUCCAGGAGUACAAGCACAAUUUCAGUGUGCUUCCAGAGACAAAUCCACGGAGGUACACGGAUAUCAUGUACGUACAGAAACAUCAGAUAUGUGUGUGUGUGUUCAGGUAUGCAGUGUGUAUAUCUAGGUUACUUUAACUUCAUAUAUAAUUUGGUGCAAAUGUGUGUGUAUAUAUGUAUUUUUUUUUCACCAUUGAAUCUAAGGCUUUUAGGGAAGACGGCUGCUGCUGAUCUGUCUUGUGGCACCUGCAGAUGGCUGGGUACACUCUGGUUCAGAUCACCACCUGUCUGAGUUAUCUCCAGCUAAAAUAAUGCCAUGUCACCAAAACCUGCAGGACCUUGGUGACAUCCUGUGUAAGGAUGCUUCUCUGACGCUUCCGGGUGAGCUGGGAGGUUAUCUAGAGGUCCUGCCGAUCUUUGGCUGGGCAUGCUCACGUGUCUCGGAGUGGCCUGGCUUCUCAGCGCCGGUCUCAGCUUCAGCAGACAGACUGGCUUUGCCCUGCUGUAUGUAGCUCUUACCCUCCAGGGGCAGGCCCCGCACAGUUUUGGGUUUGGAGAAGGCAAUGAUCCACACGUGAUGAUCCCAGCCAGAGGUUACCGUAGAUGUAAACACAGAUACUUCGGUGAGGAGCUAAAACAGAGGUCAAAGCCCAGAGGCACGUAAGAAACAUGUAGAGGGGAGGCUGGAGAAUGAGACCUGGAGGCACCCCCAGUGUGGCAUGCAAGCCUCACUGGAAGGCCUCAGGGGUGGCUGGGAAAGCACGCAAGUGUGUCCGGUCCCUUGACCCUGCUGGAAAAUGGUCAGAGAAUGAAAUCCACAGACUUGGGGUCACUUAAAGGACACCUAUUUCCUGAGAGCCUUCGGCUUGAAUGGGUCUCCAUGUGCCCCUUUCCACUCUCUACAUUUUUGCCUGGACCCCUCAAUGGUGGCACAGGCGAAGGGAUGAAUAUUGUCAUGUUUUGAUCUUUGCAAAAAAAAAAAAGAAAAGAAAAAAGAAAAAAAAAGGGCUCUAAAAACCAGCCUGCCGCUGAGUUCGUGUAUGUGAGGCACUUCGAACAUUGUGCACAGAGAAAGCACUCCAUAUCUCUUAGCUACGAUUAUGUUAUUUGGAUUUAAAUGGAAAUACCGUAUUGCAGCUCUAAAGGUAUCUGUCCAGCUUCUCAACCCUCCAGCCAAGACAGCCCUAGAUCUUUUCAGAGAAGGCAGAUGAGCCUAGAAUUACCCUGGCUGUCUUAAACUUGGGGCCCCCUGCGUCCAAAGUGGGUCUGUCAUGCCGUGUGGUAUGGGUGAGUGGGCUUUGACUCAGGCCUGCUUUGUACUUGGGCACCUUGUUUAGAACUGACACCCCGUCCUGACCUCCAGACCACUUGGCUUGGGCCCUGACACCUGUUGGGCCUUAACAACCUCCCCCACACAUUGGUGCCAUUCUCCAAACUGGGCAGCCCGCCCAGAGCCUGACCUGGCUUGACUGCCACUCCUAGGAGACUCCCACUGUCCUCCUCGGCCCCCAGAGCCGACCUCUUUAGACAUUCUUUCCGGAUUGGCUCAGGCUUGGUCACCAUGCCUCUUUCCCAUUACCCAACACGAGCCCUGUCCCUUCCUGGCUGCAUCCCUUCUUGACACGCCCGAGCUUCUGGAUUCCCAACCUGGCCCCAUUCAAGGCAUGAUGCCGUGGAAUCUUAGAAUUCCAAACUCCCUGCUCUGUAGAUGAGGACCCGUGUUCCGGGACGAGAAGUCCCUUCCCCAUGUCACACCCUGAGUGUGUGACAGAUGCAGGAUAAAAUCCAAGCCCCUGAGCAACAUUUGUCUUGGAAUAUUGUUACGACUCCAAAGAAGCAGGGCUUCUGUUUCCUCAGCUUGCCCUCACACGACCCAUGAGAGCACCUCUUUCUGAGACUAUACUUAGCAGGUAAUUCCUUCUCACAUAAGUACUCAAGGUCCUCAGACUAAAUACCCCUUCCCCCUGGCAUUCAGGAGUCAUCAGAGUAUUAGAGUCUGCCAGUAGCCUAUGGUGCCUGCAACAGGGAAAGAGAAGAAUCAUUGGAAUCCUUGAAGCAGAAAGAAACAUCAGAUGCUUCCCUUGGAUUUCUGGCAAGAGCAGGUCUAGGAACAAGGUAGCCCUAUAAUUGUUUCAAUUCCCCACAUUGUCUUGGCUCUGUGACGGAGCCUUGUAACUGACACACUGAGAUAUUUGAUGGGUCCGUAGGAGUCCUCACGGUCACUGCCAGAGCAGGGUGGAGAUAUGCCAGGCAGACAUACAGAAAGCCAUGAUUUAGCAGGUCUGUGGCCCACUGGGGGGCCUUCUGUACUCCAGUGCGUGCUGCUAGACCAAGUUCCCAAUCCUGGGCAUUUCCAUACUUGGCCACCGUCUGCGUCAGACAAAAUAAAGCACCAGAGGGAUGAGUUCUACA